AACAUUUAGGUUUAAAAGUGAGUUUAGGAAUUGUUUUUACGAAAUAAAUUUGUCAUCUUGGUAUAAACAGUGAAGAAAAUGCAUACACACUUUGGGCUGUGCCUUAGGGUGCAUGAAUUUUCCACAUCAUUGUAAAAAUUUGUAUACACCUGAUUACAACAAGAUAAAUAAUAGUAUCAAUGAUAUCGAUUGUAGAAUUUUUUUAUGAAAUUGCUGCAAGUGUUAUUUGCCUGUUUAAAUUGUACGAAAUUAGUAUUUAUGAUGACUUUUUAUGAAGAGCCAACUUCUCAGUGGAUAAUUUAUAUUUUUGUAAAUCUGUCGAAAUUGAUAAAUGGGAUUAACAUCAAAAUUUUAAUAAAAAGAAUAUACUGAAAAUUGUGUAAAAAAUCAGUUCUGUUUUUUUAGUUGUUCAAAGAAGAAAAAUGUUGAUACCUUUAUGAAAUUGUAUGAUUUUUAUUAAACUAAACAAUUGGAAUGUGCAAAAAACAGAUUUGGUCUGACAUAUUUCUGUUAACCUGCAUAUUAUUAGAAUUGCCCUGAUUUAACAAAGUUUCAAAAGUCUGAAUGUUUGUUACAUUUAUUCAUUUUGAACAUGUGUCUCGCUUUUGCCUCAAAUGUUGGACAAAACUCAGACCCAGAGAUAGUUUCAUUUGUUAAAAAAAAGUGAUCACAGAUUUUUACAUACAAUUAAUAAUAUUUAAAAAAUAUUAAUACACUAAACAAUGCA
rnacentral:lncRNA from 1 species